GACGAACGCUGGCGGCGUGCCUAAUACAUGCAAGUCGAGCGAACAGAUAAGGCGCUUGUUCCUUUGACGUUAGCGGCGGACGGGUGAGUAACACGUGGGUAAUCUACCUAUAAGACUGGAAUAACUCCGGGAAACCGGUGCUAAUCCCGGAUAACAUCUAGCACCGCACUGUUCUAAAGUGAAAGAUGGUUUUGCUAUCACUUAUAGAUGGACCCGGGCCGUAUUAGCUAGUUGUGAAGUUAACGGCUUACCACGGCAACCAUACGUAGCCGACCUGAGAGGGGGAUCGGCCACACUGGAACUGAGACACGGACAAGAGUCCUACGGGAGGCAGCAGUAGGGAAUCUUCCGCAAUGGGGGAAAGCCUGACGGAGCAACGCCGCGUGAGUGAUGAAGGUCUUCGGAUCGUAAAACUCUGUUAUUAGGGAAGAACAAAUGUGUAAGUAACUGUGCACGUCUUGACGGUACCUAAUCAGAAAGCCACGGCUAACUACGUG
rnacentral:rRNA from 1 species